UGAUGUUUAUGGAAUGAGCGGCGGACGGGUGAGUAACACGUGGGCAACCUGCCUGUAAGAUCGGGAUAACUCGCGGAAACGUGAGCUAAUACCGGAUAACACUUUUCAUCUCAUGGUGAGAAGAUAAAAGACGGUUUCGGCUGUCACUUACAGAUGGGCCCGCGGCGCAUUAGCUAGUUGGUGAGGUAACGGCUCACCAAGGCGACGAUGCGUAGCCGACCUGAGAGGGUGAUCGGCCACACUGGGACUGAGACACGGCCCAGACUCCUACGGGAGGCAGCAGUAGGGAAUCUUCCGCAAUGGACGAAAGUCUGACGGAGCAACGCCGCGUGAGUGAUGAAGGUUUUCGGAUCGUAAAACUCUGUUGUUAGGGAAGAACAAGUUGGGUAGUAACUGACCCAACCUUGACGGUACCUAACCAGAAAGCCACGGCUAACUACGUGCCAGCAGCCGCGGUAAUACGUAGGUGGCAAGCGUUGUCCGGAAUUAUUGGGCGUAAAGCGCUCGCAGGCGGUCUUUUAAGUCUGAUGUGAAAGCCCACGGCUUAACCGUGGAGGGUCAUUGGAAACUGGAGGACUUGAGUACAGAAGAGGAG
rnacentral:rRNA from 1 species